CAGCUGGCCUGCUUUUAGUCCAAAGGAACAGGGGUUGGGGGAAGUUCCCAGGGCUUGAGAGGUCUUGAAGCCAAACAGGGGUUCCAGGGACACUAGGGUGCCCACUCUGGCAUUUUCUCUCCUUCCCUUCAAUUCACAGACUCUGGUGGAGCAACGUUCAGGUGGUUCAGGAAAGGGCAGCAAUAAGGUGAGGUCUGGACAGAGGACUUGGGGGCAGGGGGAGCUUGCCAAAGAGCCUUCUGAUGACUAUGUCUUUGGCUGUCCCAGGGGCCACUAGGUGUGACAGAGGAACUGCACAUCAUCAGCUUCACGGUCAAAUAUACCUACCAGGGUCUGAAGCAGGAGCUGAAAACGGACACCCUCCCUGUGGUGAUUAUUUCCAACAUGAACCAGCUCUCAAUUGCCUGGGCUUCAGUUCUCUGGUUCAAUUUGCUCAGCCCAAACCUUCAGAACCAGCAGUUCUUCUCCAACCCCCCCAAGGCCCCCUGGAGCUUGCUGGGCCCUGCUCUCAGUUGGCAGUUCUCCUCCUAUGUUGGCCGAGGCCUCAACUCAGACCAGCUGAGCAUGCUGAGAAACAAGCUGUUCGGGCAGAACUGUAGGACUGAGGAUCCAUUAUUGUCCUGGGCUGACUUCACUAAGCGAGAGAGCCCUCCUGGCAAGUUACCAUUCUGGACAUGGCUGGACAAAAUUCUGGAGUUGGUACAUGACCACCUGAAGGAUCUCUGGAAUGAUGGACGCAUCAUGGGCUUUGUGAGUCGGAGCCAGGAGCGCCGGCUGCUGAAGAAGACCAUCUCUGGCACCUUUCUACUGCGCUUCAGUGAAUCGUCAGAAGGGGGCAUUACCUGCUCCUGGGUGGAGCACCAGGAUGAUGACAAGGUGCUCAUCUACUCUGUGCAACCCUACACCAAGGAGGUGCUGCAGUCACUCCCGCUGACUGAAAUCAUCCGCCAUUACCAGUUGCUCACUGAGGAGAAUAUACCUGAAAACCCACUGCGCUUCCUCUAUCCCCGAAUCCCCCGGGAUGAAGCUUUUGGGUGCUACUACCAGGAGAAAGUUAAUCUCCAGGAACGGAGGAAAUACCUGAAACACAGGCUCAUUGUGGUCUCUAAUAGACAGGUGGAUGAAGUGCAACAACCGCUGGAGCUUAAGCCAGAGCCAGAGCUGGAGUCAUUAGAGCUGGAACUAGGGCUGGCGCCAGAGCCAGAGCUCAGCCAGGACUUAGAGCAACUGCUGAAGGCAGGGCUGGAUCUGGGGCCAGAGCUAGAAUCUGUGCUGGAGUCCACUCUGGAGCCUGUGAUAGAGCCCACACUAUGCAUGGUAUCACAAACAGUGCCAGAGCCAGACCGAGGACCUGUAUCACAGCCAGUGCCGGAGCCAGAUUUGCCCUGUGAUCUGAGACAUUUGAACACUGAGCCAAUGGAAAUCUUCAGAAACUGUGUAAAGAUUGAAGAAAUCAUGCUGAAUGGUGACCCACUGCUGGCUGGCCAGAACACCGUGGAUGAGGUUUACGUCUCCCGCCCCAGUCACUUCUACACUGAUGGACCCUUGAUGCCUUCUGAAUUCUAGGAACCACAUUUCCUCUGUUCUUUUCAUAUCUCUUGCCCUUCCUACUCCUCAUAGCAUGAUGUUGUUCUCCAAGGAUGGGAAUCAGGCAUGUGUCCCUUCCAAGCUGUGUUAACUGUUCAAACUCAGGCCUGUGUGACUCCAUUGGGGUGAGAGGUGAAAGCAUAACAUGGGUACAGAAGAGACAACAAUGAAUCAGAACAGAUGCUGAGCCAUAGAUCUAAAUAGGAUCCUGGAGGCUGCCUGCUGUGCUGGGCGGUAUAGGGGUCCUGGGGGCAGUCCAGGGCAGUUGACAGGUACUUGGAGGGCUCAGGGCAGUGGCUUCUUUCCAGUUUGGAAGGAUUUCAACAUUUUAAUAGCUGGUUAGGCUAAACUGGCGCACACUGGCAUUGGCCCUUGGGAGCACAGAUACAGGAUAGGACUCCAUUUCUUUCUUCCAUUCCUUCAUGUCUAGGAUAACUUGCUUUCUUCUUUCCUUCACUCCUGACUCAAGCCCUGAAUUUCUUCUUUUCCUGCAGGGGUUGAGAGCUUUCUGCCUUAGCCUACCAUGUGAAACUCUACCCUGAAGAAAGGGAUGGAUAGGAAGUAGACCUCUUUUUCUUACCAGUCUCCUCCCCUACUCUGCCCCUAAGCUGGCUGUACCUGUUCCUCCCCCAUAAAAUGAUCCUGCCAAUCUAAUGUGAGUGUGAAGCUUUGCACACUAGUUUAUGCUACCUAGUCUCCACUUUCUCAAUGCUUAGGAGACAGAUCACUCCUGGAGGCUGGGGAUGGUAGGAUUGCUGGGGAUUUUUUUUUUUUUUUUAAACAGGGUCUCACUCCGUUGCCCAGGCUAGAAUGCAGUGGUGCAAUCACAGCUCACUGCAGCCUCAACCUCCUGGGUUCAAGCAAUCCUCCUACCUCAGCCUCCUGUGUAGCUAGGACCAUGGCAUGCGCCACCAUGCCCUAUUUUUUUUUUUUUUUAAAGACAGGGUCUUGCUAUAUUGCCCAGGCUGGUCUUGAACUCCUGGGCUCAAGUGAUCCUCAUGCCUUGGCCUCCCAAAGUGCUGGGAUUAUAGGCAUGAGCCACUGCGCUUGGCCAGGAAUUUUUUUUUUUUUUUUUUUUAGACGGAGUUUCUCUCUUGUUGUCCAGGCUGGAGUGCAAUGGUGCGAUCUCGGCUCACUGCAACCUCCGCCUUCCGGGUUCAAGUGACUCUCCUGCCUCAGCCUCCCAAGUAGCUGGGAUUACAGAUCUGCACUACCAUGCCCAGCUAAUUUUGUAUUUUUAGUAGAGACGGGGUUUCUCCAUGUUGGUCAGGCUGGUCUCGAACUCCUGACCUCAGGUGAUCUGUCCACCUCGGCCUCCCAGAGUGCUGGGAUUACAGGCGUCAGCCACCGUGCCCAGCAGGAAUUUCUUUUUAUAGUAUUGGCUAAAGUUUGGUGUUUUUACAGAGGAGAAGCAAUGGGUCUUAGCUCUUUCUCUAUUAUGUUAUCAUCCCCCCUUUUUUGUACAAUAUGUUAUUUACCUGAAAGGAAGGUUUCUAUUCCUUGGUUGUGGACCUGGACAAAGUCCAAGUCUGUGGAACUUAAAACCUUGAAGGUCUGUCAUAGGACUCUGGACAAUCUCACACCCAGGGAACCCCAGGGGGCAACUGACAUUGCUCUAAGAUGUCCUCCUGAUGUAGCUUGAGAUAUAAAUGAAAGGCCCUGCACAGGUGGCUGUUUCUUGUCUGUCAGAAAGGGGCUCUUCUGAGCAGAAAUGGCUAAUAAACUUUGUGCUGAUCUGGAAA
rnacentral:sRNA from 1 species